GGUGAACGCUGGCGGCGUGCCUAAUACAUGCAAGUAGAACGCUGAAGGAGGAGCUUGCUCUUCUGGAUGAGUUGCGAACGGGUGAGUAACGCGUAGGUAACCUGCCUGGUAGCGGGGGAUAACUAUUGGAAACGAUAGCUAAUACCGCAUGACAACAGUUAUUGCAUGAUAACUGUUUAAAAGGGGCAACUGCUCCACUACCAGAUGGACCUGCGUUGUAUUAGCUAGUUGGUGAGGUAACGGCUCACCAAGGCGACGAUACAUAGCCGACCUGAGAGGGUGAUCGGCCACACUGGGACUGAGACACGGCCCAGACUCCUACGGGAGGCAGCAGUAGGGAAUCUUCGGCAAUGGACGGAAGUCUGACCGAGCAACGCCGCGUGAGUGAAGAAGGUUUUCGGAUCGUAAAGCUCUGUUGUAAGAGAAGAACGAGUGUGAGAGUGGAAAGUUCACACUGUGACGGUAUCUUACCAGAAAGGGACGGCUAACUACGU
rnacentral:rRNA from 1 species